AUGAGCGCAAUGGAGAUGGAGAAGUUGAUCAGCGAAGAGAAGGUGGUGCUUGGCGGCGCUGGAGACGAGGAGGAAGAGGACGACGUGGUACUGCCGGGAUACCGGUUCCACCCCACCGACGAGGAACUCGUCACCUUCUACCUCCGGCGGAAGGUGGCUGGGAAGCCGCUCAGCAUCGAAGUCAUCCGGGAGAUGGACAUCUACAAACACGACCCAUGGGAUCUCCCCAAGGGGAGCACGGUUGGUGGGGAAAAAGAGUGGUACUUCUUCUGCCUCAGGGGGAGGAAGUACCGGAACAGCAUCCGUCCCAACCGGGUGACCGGCUCCGGCUUCUGGAAGGCCACGGGCAUCGACCGGCCGAUCUACUCUGCCGCCAGCGGCGGCUCGGGCUCGGGCUCGGGCGUAUUGAUUGGGCUGAAGAAAUCUCUCGUCUACUACCUUGGCAAAUUCGGUAAAUGCACCAAGACCGACUGGAUGAUGCACGAGUUCCGCCUCCUGCCGUCCGCCCCCGCGGCCACCAACGCCUCCCCGAGCAUGCAGGAAGCGGAGGUGUGGACCAUCUGUCGGAUCUUCAGGAGGACCAUCACCUACCGGAAGCAGCAGACGUGGAGGACGGCGCCCACGCCAUCCGCUGCCGACCAGAGCUCCAACACGGGGAGCUUCGAGUCCUCGGAGGUCGGCCACGAGUACAUGAACUACCUGCAGGCUCCGGCACCCAUCGCCCCGUGCAUCCCCCCGCAGCAGCACCAGCAGUACGUCAGCCAGAUGGACGCAGUAAACAGCAACAACUUCUUCUACGAGGACACCAUGCACAACCAGCAGUUCCAGGGGCAAUGGAAUGCGGCACCCGCCGCGCCGGAGCCAGAGGAGAAGCCACAGAAUACACCGUCGACGGCCGUCUCCUUCCACCAGACUGACCAUAGCCACGCCGUCGCAGAGAACGAUUUUUACGAGGUCGAGGGGUAUUUGGAGGAGAUCGCGAGGAUGAUGGAGGUCACCGAUACGGCAGGGUUUUACGACUGA
rnacentral:rRNA from 1 species